GAAGUUUGUUUCACUGGGGUUCACUCUUUAUUACGACAUCCCGUUAUUACGACGACCCUCUAUUACGACAUACCGUUAUUACGACAUGCCUCUAUUUAGACAUG